AUGACAUCUCCUGGUUUCAAUGAUGUUUCCAGAGACAAUAUCUCUCUCAUCAUCACUCAAUACCUAGGUUUACCUCCACUGUAUUCACAUCCUACCAUACCUUUGUCUGUACAUUAUACCUUGAAACUAUGUUAUCGCCCCCAGAAAUCUCAUUUUACUCUCUGUUCCAGACGUUCUAGACGACCAAUUCUUAUUGCUUUUAGCCGUACCCUUAUUCUACUCUGUUCCUCUGGCGAUGUAGAGGUGAAUCCAGGCCCUGCAGUGCCUAGCUCCACUCCUAUUCCCCAGGCGCUCUCUUUUGAUGACUUCUGUAACCGUAAUAGCCUUGGUUUCAUGCAUGUUAACAUUAGAAGCCUCCUCCCUAAGUUUGUUUUAUUCACUGCUUUAGCACACUCUGCCAACCCGGAUGUUCUAGCUGUGUCUGAAUCCUGGCUUAGGAAGACCACCAAAAAUUCUGAAAUUUUCAUCCCAAACUACAACAUUUUCAGACAAGAUAGAACUGCCAAAGGGGGCGGUGUUGCAAUCUACUGCAAAGAUAGCCUGCAGAGUUCUGUCCUACUAUCCAGGUCUGUACCCAAACAAUUUGAACUUCUACUUUUAAAAAUCCACCUCUCUAAAAACAAGUCUCUCACCGUUGCCACCUGCUAUAGACCACCCUCUGCCCCCAGCUGUGCUCUGGACACCAUAUGUGAACUGAUUUCCCCCCAUCUAUCUUCAGAGCUCGUGCUGCUAGGCGACCUAAACUGGAACAUGCUUAACACCCCAGCCGUCCUACUAUCUAAGCUUGAUGCCCUCAAUCUCAGACAAAUUAUCAAUGAACCUACCAGGUACCUCUCCAAAGCCUUAUACACGGGCACCCUCAUAGAUAUCAUCCUAACCAACUUGCCCUCUAAAUACACCUCUGCUGUCUUCAACCAAGAUCUCAGCGAUCACUGCCUCAUUGCCUGCAUCCGUAAUGGGUCAGCGGUCAAACGACCUCCAUUCAUCACUGUCAAACGCUCCCUGAAACACUUCAGCGAGCAGGCCUUUCUAAUCGACCUGGCCGGGGUAUCCUGGAAGGAUAUUGAUCUCAUCCCGUCAGUAGAGGAUGCCUGGUUAUUUUUUUUAAAUGCCUUCCUAACCAUCUUAAAUAAGCAUGCCCCAUUCAAGAAAUUUAGAACCAGGAACAGAUAUAGCCCUUGGUUCUCCCCAGACCUGACUGCCCUUAACCAACACAAACAUCCUAUGGCGUUCUGCAGUAGCAUCGAACAGCCCCCGUGA
ensembl:lncRNA